rnacentral:rRNA from 1 species
UACGGAGGGUGCAAGCGUUAUCCGGAUUCACUGGGUUUAAAGGGUGCGUAGGCGGCGCGGUAAGUCGGGUGUGAAAUCUCGGAGCUUAACUCCGAAACUGCAUUCGAUACUGCCGUGCUUGAGGACUGGAGAGGAGACUGGAAUUCCUGGUGUAGCGGUGAAAUGCGCAGAUAUCAGGAGGAACACCGGUGGCGAAGGCGGGUCUCUGGGCAACAACUGACGCUGAGGAGCGAAAGCGUGGGGAGCGAACAGG